CCUCAAGAAGAGCGAGGCUUAGUAUGUCCCUUGCCCAUGCCCAAUGCUGACGGUCCUCAUCUCGUGUGAGUCUUGUGGAGCAAUCAUAGUGUAGUAAGUCCAUGAGUGCAACAGUCAUCCCCCUGAAAUGUAAGCUCCAGGGAGCUCCGGUGACUUUUCCCUGUUUUGAUAACUGCUGUAUUCUCAACACAUGAACUCGGCUCAGCAUAUACGAAGAACUCAAGUGUUUGUUAAAAUGAUGAAUGAUGCUCUCUGAAAGCUAAAAAGACAUGAAAAUCUCUUUUGUGUUUCCUGGAAGAAGCAUGAGAUGGAUUUAGGUAUAGAGAGACUGUGGAAAUAUUAACACAACGCUGAAGCUUUUUGCAAAGGCCACAAAGAAAAGAAGAAAGUAGAUAAUUAGAGAGAGUGGAUAUGAUGGCUAAUCUUAGUUGUCAACUUGAUCAUCUGGAGUCAAAUCAACUGAAAUACAAGCAGCUGGCACACCUGUGAGGGAGCUUUCUUGAGUGAAUCAUUUGAGGUGGGAAGAUUCAUCCUAAGUCUGGGUCACACUGUCUAUUUGCAGCCUACAUAAAGGAACAUGAGAGAAGGAAGCUUUUGCUCUUUGCCUACUUGCCCUCAGCCUCACCAGCAAAUUCAUCUAUUCUUCUGCUACACCAUUCCUUCUCUGGUAUUAGAGGCUGCCUCUUCAGGACUUCACUGUAGACUGAAGACCAGCUGAGACAUCCAGCCUGUGAUGCUUUGAAAGAAAACAGCCCCCAAAGGGAGUGGCACUAUUAGAUGUGGCCUUAUGGGAGUAGGUGUGGUUUUGU